CAGUCGCCGCGGGAAUACGAAGGGGGCUAGCGUUGUUCGGAAUUACUGGGCGUAAAGCGCACGUAGGCGGACAUUUAAGUCAGGGGUGAAAUCCCGGGGCUCAACCCCGGAACUGCCUUUGAUACUGGGUGUCUUGAGUGUGGAAGAGGUCAGUGGAAUUGCGAGUGUAGAGGUGAAAUUCGUAGAUAUUCGCAGGAACACCAGUGGCGAAGGCGGCUGACUGGUCCACAACUGACGCUGAGGUGCGAAAGCGUGGGGAGCAAACAGGAUUAGAUACCCCAGUAGUCCCUGUCUCUUAUAC
rnacentral:rRNA from 1 species